ACUACUUGGAUAACCGUGGUAAUUCUAGAGCUAAUACAUGCUGAAAACCCCGACCCCUGGGAGGGGUGUAUUUAUUAGAUUAAACCAAUGCCCUCUGGGCUCUCUGGUGAUUCAUGAUAACUCGUCGAAUCGCACGGCCUUGCGCCGGCGAUGGUUCAUUCAAAUUUCUUCCCUAUCAGCUUUCGAUGUUUGGGUAGUGGCCAAACAUGGCUGCAACGGGUAACGGAGGGUUAGGGCUCGACCCCGGAGAAGGAGCCUGAGAAACGGCUACUACAUCCAAGGAAGGCAGCAGGCGCGCAAAUUACCCAAUCCCGACACGGGGAGGUAGUGACAAUAAAUACUGAUACAGGGCUCUUUUGGGUCUUGUAAUUGGAAUGAGUACAAUUUAAAUCCCUUAACGAGGAACAAUUGGAGGGCAAGUCUGGUGCCAGCAGCCGCGGUAAUUCCAGCUCCAAUAGCGUAUAUUAAAGUUGUUGUGGUUAAAAAGCUCGUAGUUGAACCUUGGGCCUGGCUGGCCGGUCCGCCUCACCGCGUGCACUGGUCCGGCCGGGCCUUUCCCUCCGCGGAACCCCAUGCCCUUCACUGGGCGUGGCGGGGAAACGGGACUUUUACUUUGAAAAAAUUAGAGUGCUCCAGGCAGGCCUAUGCUCGAAUACAUUAGCAUGGAAUAAUGAAAUAGGACGCGCGGUUCUAUUUUGUUGGUUUCUAGGACCGCCGUAAUGAUUAAUAGGGACAGUCGGGGGCAUCAGUAUUCAAUUGUCAGAGGUGAAAUUCUUGGAUCAAUUGAAGACUAACUACUGCGAAAGCAUUUGCCAGAUGUUUUCAUUAAUCAGGAACGAAAGUUAGGGGAUCGA
rnacentral:rRNA from 1 species